CGGCCUAGGAGAUCAACCAUGCAAGCAUAGUGCUCUAUCUUGGGUUCAAUCAUAUACUUCCUAAGCAUCUGAUCACAAAGGCUACGACCCUCAGAAACAAGUCCAGCAUGACUACAAGCUGAAAGAAUAGCAACAAAGGUAACCCCGUCUGGUUUGAAUCCAGAUAUAAUCAUUUGAUUAAAUGUUUCUAAAGCGUUCACACCAAGUCCAUGCAUCCCAUACCCUGUGAUCAUAGAAUUCCAUGAUACUAAAUCUUUGCUCUCAAUUUUCUCAAAUACAGCAUGCCCUUCUUUUUAUUAUGAACUAAUAAUAUGGUAUCUAAUUUUUUCUCUCUUGCUUCAUCUUUUUUUAAAUCGUUUUGUUGAGCGUUUUGAUCUUUUUUUAAUAUUUAACUAUCAUAUGAAUGUUGGCAAUUUCCAUUGAUAUUAGGCUAUUUGCACAUUCCUCACUUCAUUUAUAUUUUUUUGCUUUUGCUCAUGUUUGAAUAUAAAUUUAUUCACUAAUCGUGGUUCUUUAUAUCAUAUUUUUCUUGAAAUUGAUUAAGAUAUUAAUAUUACUGACAUUUUAUUACUCUACGUAUGCAUAAUUUAUGUGUUUUAUAUUUUUUUUUUUUUUUUGAUUGUCAUUUUUAAGAGGUAACUAAGUGAAUAAUUUUAUUAUUAAUAAGUAGGGUUUUUUAUGAAGAAGAACUGAGAGAGUGUAAAUAUUGAUUUGAGUUUUUCGAUUGCGUUCUUUUAAGUCAUGCCAAUGAAGCACGUCGUUUUCAACCUUUUCAAAUAUAACCCUCGGAUCAAGUAUCGAUAAUAAUCCUAUAGUGUCCAACUGUUAGAUCAAAUAUUCAUAAUCCUAUAAUCCAAAAUUAAUGCCGUAAAAUUGACACUAUUAUAAUAUAACUGUACAAAAAUAACUACUUUUUAGAUUAUUAUAGUAAUAAAAUAUGUUUUUUACAAUAAAUAGUCGAUUACAUUAAAAUUAUUUAGCUUUUUGAUAGUAAUAUCUAAUCCCUUCCUUGCAUUAAAAAUGUCAUAGUUUUACUUUUUGUUUCAUUUUAUAUCAUAUUUUUCUUGAAAUUGAUUAAGAUAUUAAACUAUGUUUUCUACAAUAAAUACGUAUGCAUAAUUUAUGAAUAUGAUUUGGUUCAUUGCUAUAGAAAGAAAAUAAUAGAAAAAUAGCUUCACAUUAGUAAACAUUUUAUGAAUAGAAAAACACUUGUCGACUUAGUAAUAUGUAUAAGUAUACAUUAAAUAUUUCUUAUCAUAAAUAUUUAUAAACUUAAAUUAAUUAAUUAAAUCUAUUAAAACCCCAAACAAUUAAUAAUCAACUGCAUCUCGUCAACUUUCUAAAUUUCAUCCAACAUAUUAUUUGUUUAUUUAUUUAUUAGAAAGAGAAAUAUUAUUAAUAUGAAACCAGGAAAAACUUAAGAAAAUGGAUGCAUUCUAAUCCCAAGACAACAGACUUUCCCCUUACACCCAUCCUAGGCAUCCAUGAUGUUAAGUGAAAAAACCUGGUGAGCUACAUCAUUAAGCAGAAAAUUACAAGAAAAAAAAAAAGAUAGCUAAACAAUGAACUACCAUAUUGGAUGAUGAAUUCUCCUGAAUUAAAAGCUUGAAGCACUCCUUGAUCAUCAGUUUGAACAUCAACAUGCGUAAUCCCUUCCAUGCAAACCCAAACAAGAGUUCCAAAAAUGCAAUAGCUUCAGCCACUUUAGGAAUGAAGCAACCCAGCAUAGCUCCAGAUUUAAAUCUACCAAUUUGAACAUUUAUUGAUCAUGCAAAGCAAUUGAAAAAUAAAUUUCACGUAAACCAGUCAAAAAUUGAAAAUAGCAAAAGCUAGCAUGUUCAUGUUCUAAUCUAUGUUACCUGAUCAACAUCUUGCAGAAUCCUCCCAUCUAUCUACCACCUGCAGCAUAUAUAUUUGAGAGCAAUGUGCAAUUCCCUAUUGUUUCCUGCAAAUUGAGACUAAACAUAUCAAUGAGAUCUUUCCAAAUGAAUAAUAUUCAAAUCACCUUUAUAUAUAAUAUAUCCAUUAAUCACCUUACCUUUAUCAGAUACCACAAACCAGCACAAAUGCCUCAGCACUCAUCUCCAUUCCUCUCAUACUCAUCACACCAAACUACUCCAUUGUUUCCUCAAGCUAAUCUGAACGUGCGUGACUUGACAUAAGCAAUGUCCAUCUUACAAGAUUUGGUCCCAAAAACCUUCAGAUUGCAUCCUUGUGAAAAUCUCCAGUGUAAUCACAGUUGAAUGAAUAAGCCGUAAACAUUACAUUCCAUGAAAUACAGUUUCUAACACCCAUUCUGUCGAACACAUUCUGGAUCACUCAAUUUGACAAACAAUGGCCGUAAUAUCAUCAUAUUUGCCUCCAGUAUGCAAGUAUCCAGCCCUCUGAGCAUCUCUAGCAAAAGGAGAAUGAUAAUCUUCAUCAAUAGAAUUAAACAAAGCACAAUCUCCAAUUGCCCAAGCUAAGUCCUCUACAGACGUUUCAUUAUCCCCAUCAGUUUGCUCCAAGAUUUUUAUUAUUUCAUAUGGGUAAAUAUUAUCAAGCAACCCAUCACUUCCUACAACAACAAUAUCUCCAGCUUGUACACCAAUUUUUUCCUCAUAAGCAAUACAAGGCAUAUCGCUACUGCAAGUCCCUAAUUGGUACGGACGAUUAAACUCGUGUUGCUGCACUGGAGAUUUGUAAAUAUAUUUUUUGUCCCUAAAUAGCAUAAACCCACUGUCUCCAAGAUUGACAUAAUGCAAGCAAUUAUUAGUACUGAGAGUAAUAAUACAGGCGGUUGAGGAACCUUGAACACUGGUGUUUAAAUAGGCUUCUUCUAGAACUCUUCCUGGAUUUACGCUUCCUUUGUGUUCAUGUUGAAGAGCAAUAGCAGAAUUUGCCAUGAGUUGGCGAGCGUAUUCACCGGCAUCGAUUCCUUUUCUUUCCCAACCGCCAACGCCAUCCGCGACACCGAUGGUUUGCUUUUCUUUGCAAAUGAAAUGAGAGUCUUCUCCUUCUGGCCUUUCUUGGUUGUCUUUCUCUAUGUAAAAGCCUCCGGCAUUCAUCCUCAGUCGCUUCUUGAAGGAAUGAGUUUACAAUGGAAAGAUAAUAAGUAGGGUUUUUUUACGAAGGAGAACUGAGAGAGUGUAUAUAUUGAUUUGAGUUUUACUAUUGCGCAUUCUUUUAAGUCAUGCCAAUGAAGUCUUUUUCAACAUUUUCAAGUAUAACCGACGGAUCAAGUAUCGGUAAUAAUCUUAUAGUGUCCAACCGUUGGAUCAAUUAUGGAUAAUCCUACAGUCCAAAAUUAACACCGUAAAAUUAGCACUAUUAUAAUAUAACUAUACAAAAAUAACUACUUUUUAAAUUAUUAUAGUAAUAAAAUAUGUUUUUUACAAUAAAUAGUCGAUUACGUUAGAAUUAUUUAGCUUUUUGAUAGUAAUCUAAUCCCUUCCUUGCAUUAAAAAUGUCACAGUUUUAAUUUUUGUUUCAUUUUAUAUGUUACUUGAAGAUCAAGAAAUCAUUUAUAAAAAAAGGUAAAAAAAAGAUUAAAAAUUGUGGAAUAAUAAAAAAGAAAAUCAUUUUACGUGUCUACAUCUUGUGGAAUGAUAUUAUUAGCAUGUAUAUAUCCUUCAGUCUCCAUCUGAAGUGCCAAUUCUUCAAGUAUCCUAAUCACUUGCUCCAGACCCAUUUCCAUAUUUUUCCCAGCAGAAAACAUAUGAACAUCCUUCUUCACCUUAAUCCAACUUUGCCCACGGUUCUUCUUUAAACCCUUUCUCCUAGCAGAGGUUCUCACUCUUGCAGAAUCCUCCCAUCUACCACCUGCAGCAUAUACAUUAGAGAGCAACAUGUAAUUCCCUGUUGUUUCCUGCAAGUUGAGACUAAACAUAUGGGAGGCAGUUUCUUCAGCAACAUCUGCAUUGUUGUGCAUUCUACAAGAGUUCAAAAGGGCACCCCAUACACAAGCAUUGGGUUCCACUGGCAUGUUUUUGACAAUUUCACUUGCUUCUUGCAAUAACCCUGCACGGCCUAGGAGAUCAACCAUGCAAGCAUAGUGCUCCAUCUUGGGUUCAAUCAUAUACUUCCUAAGCAUCUGAUCAAAAAGGCUACGACCCUCAGAAACAAGUCCAGCAUGACUACUAGCUGAAAGAAUAGCAACAAAGGUAACCCCGUCUGGUUUGAAUCCAGGUAUAAUCAUUUGAUUAAAUGUUUCUAAAGCGUUCACACCAAGUCCAUGCAUCCCAUACCCUGCGAUCAUAGAAUUCCAUGAUACUAAAUCUUUGCUCUCAA
rnacentral:lncRNA from 1 species